UUGGUCGGUAAGUCCUGGAUGUUGUGUAUUAUUCAGAGUCUGGUAUUUUCAACCUGGAUAAUUAUCUUUGCCCUUUGUUUUUAGGAAAAUUUCUUGGAUCAGAAACGUCACAUUUGAAGAUCCUGAAGUGUGAAUGAAUCAACAAACACAAGAUGUCAGGGGAACACCUUGCUCUGAAGUUAAUGGUAUAAAGGAAAUUGUUAUACCCUGUAUUGGGAGAAUCGGGUGCCGGUGGAGAUCGCCACUCACUCUCCUUGGUACCAAGUAAGGAAAUAAACUGCUUCAAACAGGACCUGGAGUCUAGUCUCAUUAUUACUUAAGCAGAAAUAAAAAUUUCUACAACAAACUGCAGAUGCUGUAAAUCAGGAACA